rnacentral:rRNA from 1 species
CGGGGGGGAGCAAGCGUUGUUCGGAUUUACUGGGCGUAAAGGGCGCGUAGGCGGCCUCUGCAAGUCGACUGUGAAAUCUCCGGGCUUAACCCGGAAAGGUCAGCCGAUACUGCAGGGCUAGAGUGCAGAAGGGGCAACUGGAAUUCUCGGUGUAGCGGUGAAAUGCGUAGAUAUCGAGAGGAACACCUGCGGCGAAGGCGGGUUGCUGGGCUGACACUGACGCUGAAGCGCGAAAGCUAGGGGAGCGAACGGGAUUAGAUACCCCGGUAGUCCUAGCCUUAGACGAUGAAUGCUUGGUGUCUGGGGUUUUAUAGUCCCCGGGUGCCGUCGCUAACGCUUUAAGCAUUCCGCCUGGGGAGUACGGUCGCAAGACUG